CAGGCCUAACACAUGCAAGUCGAACGCCCCGCAAGGGAGUGGCGCACGGGUGAGUAACGCGUGGGAAUGUGCCCUUGGGUGCGGAGACAACGUCGGGAAACUGACGCUAAUACCGCAUAAUGACUACGGUCCAAAGAUUUAUCGCCCAAGGAUCAGCCCGCGUGAGAUUAGGUAGUUGGUGAGGUAAAAGCUCACCAAGCCGACGAUCUCUAGCUGGUCUGAGAGGAUGAUCAGCCACACUGGGACUGAGACACGGCCCAGACUCCUACGGGAGGCAGCAGUGGGGAAUAUUGGACAAUGGGGGCAACCCUGAUCCAGCCAUACCGCGUGUGUCAAGAAGGCCUUAGGGUUGUAAAGCACUUUCAGUGGGGAGGAAAAGUUGCCGGCGAAUACCCGGCAACCGUGACGCUACCUGCAGAAGAAGCACCGGCAAACUCCGUGCCAGCAGCCGCGGUAAU
rnacentral:rRNA from 1 species